AUGUUGGACAAUGGGGGAAACCCUGAUCCAGCCAUCCCGCGUGUAUGAUGAAGGCCUUCGUGUUGUAAAGUACUUUUUGCAGAGAAAAAAAGGUACCUCCUAAUACGAGGUACUGCUGACUGUAUCUGCAGUAUAAGCACCGGCUAACUACGUGCGAGUAGCCGCGGUAAUACGUAGGGUGCAAGCGUUAAUCCGAAUCACUGGUCGUAAUGCGUGUGUAGGCGGUUCGGAAAGAAAGAUGUGAAAUCACAGGGCUCAACCUUGGAACUACAUUUUUAACUGCCGAGCUAGAGUAUGUCAGAGGGGGGUAGAAUUCCACGUGUAGCAGUGAAAUGCGUAGAUAUGUGGAGGAAUACCGAUGGCGAAGGCAGCCCCCUGGGAUAAUACUUACGCUCAGACACGAAAGCGUGGGGAGCAAACA
rnacentral:rRNA from 1 species